CGACCUGCCCUUCAGAGGGGGACAACAGUUGGAAACGACUGCUAAUACCGCAUACGAUCUAAUCUCGGCAUCGAGGAUGGAUGAAAGGUGGCCUCUAUUUAUAAGCUAUCACUGAAGGAGGGGAUUGCGUCUGAUUAGCUAGUUGGAGGGGUAACGGCCCACCAAGGCGAUGAUCAGUAGCCGGUCUGAGAGGAUGAACGGCCACAUUGGGACUGAGACACGGCCCAGACUCCUACGGGAGGCAGCAUG
rnacentral:rRNA from 1 species